AUGAAAUAUAUAUCCCAGGGCCUUCCACAAAGGGGACACUGUAGUAGCAUCUGCUAUUAUUCUCACCGUUCUUAUUAUAAUUGGCUCAUUACCAGUCAUGCCCAAACCUAUCAGAGCAGCCUCCUGCAUCUCAGCUUUUCUUUAUCAUUGUGCUCAUGUUGUUUCUACAAAACACUCACAACAAGUUGCAAUCAUAUCUGUUUUCGUUUGUGUAUUUGCCCAGAACCUGUCUUUUCUCUGAGUGCCACCAGGGCAGUGUAUCAUGGUUGUCUCUCUGCUGGAACAAAUGACUCCUGCACCUCAGCCACUUCACACACUAGAGGAUUAGUUCUCUCUUCUUGUGACAGCUCUAUGACUUCAGGCUUAGACUGGAAUCUACACUCUCAGCUCUCUGGCUCUCCAGCCUUCAGACUACAGCACUGGCUUUCUGGGCGUCCAGCUUGCCAGUGCAAAUGCAUAGCUCCCUGUGACUGA
rnacentral:lncRNA from 1 species